rnacentral:rRNA from 1 species
AUUGAACGCUGGCGGCAGGCCUAACACAUGCCAGUCGAGCGGAUGAAGGGAGCUUGCUCCUGGAUUCAGCGGCGGACGGGUGAGCAAUGCCUAGGAAUCUGCCUGGUAGUGGGGGAUAACGUCCGGAAACGGGCGCUAAUACCGCAUACGUCCUGAGGGAGAAAGUGGGGGAUCUUCGGACCUCACGCUAUCAGAUGAGCCUAGGUCGGAUUAGCUAGUUGGUGGGGUAAAGGCCUACCAAGGCGACGAUCCGUAACUGGUCUGAGAGGAUGAUCAGUCACACGGAAACUGGCACACGGUCCAGUCUGCUGGAGGGGGGAGAAGUGGGAGAUUAGAGACGUUGGGAGUAGGCUGGCUCGACCCGUGGCGGGUGUUUGAAGAAGGUUGUCAGUUUAUAAAGCACUUAAGGUGGGGGAGAGGGAAAGUUUGUUAAUCCCUUUCUUUUUUGACGUACCCAACAAAAUAAGCACCGGCAAACGUCGUGCCAGCAACCGCAGUAAUAAUGAGAGGAGCACACGUCUGAGC